rnacentral:rRNA from 1 species
AGUACAGCGGCGCACGGGUGAGUAACACGUGGGUAAUCUGCCCUGGAGUGGGGAAUAACACCGGGAAACCGGUGCUAAUACCGCAUACGAUAGCGGGAUCUGCGGAUUUCGUUAUGAAAGGAGCAAUUCGCUCUAGGAGGAGCCCGCGGCUGAUUAGCUAGUUGGUGAGGUAAUGGCUCACCAAGGCAACGAUCAGUAUCCGGUCUGAGAGGACGGUCGGACACACUGGAACUGAGACACGGUCCAGACUCCUACGGGAGGCAGCAGUGGGGAAUUUUUGGCAAUGGGGGCAACCCUGACCAAGCAACGCCGCGUGGGUGAUGAAGUCUCUUGGGACGUAAAACCCUUUCGACGGGGAAGAAACCGCAAGGUUGACGGUACCCGUAGAAGAAGCCCCGGCUAACUCCGUGCCAGCAGCCGCGGUAAUACGGGGGGGGCAAGCGUUGUUCGGAAUUACUGGGCGUAAAGGGUGCGUAGGCGGUCUGUUAAGUUGGAUGUGAAAACUCUGGGCUCAACCCAGAGCCUGCAUCCAAAACUGGCAGACUAGAGUUCUGGAGGGGGUAGCGGAAUUCCUGGUGUAGCGGUGAAAUGCGUAGAUAUCAGGAGGAACACCGGUGGCGAAGGCGGCUACCUGGACAGAAACUGACGCUGAGGCACGAAAGCUAGGGGAGCAAACAGGAUUAGAUACCCUGGUAGUCCUAGCCCUAACGAUGGAUACU